AAGACGCUGCCUCGCUUCUCCAGAGAGCACAUAUCUCUUGGAUUUGUUUUCAGAUGUUACUCUGAGCUCCCAAGUCACUGCAAUGAUUCUAUUUCUUUAGUUCCCAGCCUUUUUAAGGGAAGAUAUUUUUCUAGGUUGUGUCUAUUCUCCGGACAUCUAGGUACCGUAGCAAUGGUGCCGAAUUUAUUGGGUACCAUUCAUUAUUAAUUGUUUCCCUAGAACUGUUGUUGUAUCUUUGAAUUAAAUUAAAUUUAUUGUUUCUUGAA